rnacentral:sRNA from 1 species
UUUGACUAAUUAUAAGAGUUAAAGAUGGAUUAUGAGUGUUUAGAUAACACUUAUACCCAUUUUCUCCCAAAAGAGGCUAAAACCAACAAAAAAUUGCUUAGAAUCAGUAAAUAGCUUUGUUAGUAAUUCUAUGGUCAAAAUGUAUCACAAUCCAAAGCCUAUGACUAAUUAUAAGAGUUAGAGAUGGAUUAGGAGUGUUAAGACAACACUUACACCCAUUUUCUA